GACGGUUCAACAACGGUCGGCCCAGUCUUUCUCCAUUCCCGCAAAAGUUUUGAGAAAUUUUAGGCUACGACGGUUGAAAAUACAGUCGUCCCUCUAAAUUCUAAAAGAAGGCGCUUAGACAUUUGGACAAAGAGGGAAAAGUAGCUUCAGUCUCUCAGCUGUGAAUCUCUAAGCCCUGAAUCGCACUCUCAAUUGUGAAUCUCUAAACCCUAAGUUCUCAAACCGCCAUCCCUCUGCAACAGUGAAUAUCUCUCUCAGCCGCGCAUCUCUCUCAGCUUCGAGCUUUCCUCUCUCAGCCGCCACCACAAAUCUUUCUUAACAGUGAAGAGAAGGUAGCUCUGGUUGUGUUCUCCAGCCUGUGUCCAGCUCUAAGAUGAAUCAAUUCUUCUCCAAGCUGCUCCUUCAAAGAAGCAGAGAAACGGGAAUCAUGGAAGAAUAAAGGUCAUGGGAAAUUUAGGCAAGUCACUGAAGGGGAUUUCUUGGGUGAAGUCACUGGAAGUGAAAAAAUUAUCUGUCAUUUCUACCACAAGGAGCUCUAUCGAUGCAAGAUAAUGGAUAAGCACUUAAAGUCCCUUUCAACAAAACAUAUUGAUACAAAGUUCAUCAGGCUUGAUGCAGAGGCUGCUCGAAAGGUUACAGAAGUUCAUAAUCUAUUUUUCAGAGGUAUUGAUCAAAAUCAGGCUGUUCAGAAGGUCGUUGAGAGAAGAAUUCAGAUAUAGUCGCAUAUUCAACAGGUUCUUGAACCCAUAUUCUUUUUUUAAUAAUGAAUAAUAUGUUUCAUUUCAGAUCUGGUGUAGGAAGCUUUAGAUUCUGCUUUGUUAUGGUGCAUGUAAGUACCUUGGUUCAUUUAAAAUGGACCUACUUCUAUGUGCUCCAGAUCAAGCCAGAACUAUUGUAGUUUGCUAUGCGGACUGGUAUGUUUGGAGUUAACUGUUAGCUGAGUUCAUGAAUAAGGAAUUAUGGCCAAUGUGAUUGAUGGAUUCAAUUUCGGUAUUGGAAAUAUUAAUAAGCUUGAAUUUGAUUAUACAGUAGAGUGAAAACAAAAAAAUUAUGAAAAUUAAGUGGUCCAAUGUGUCUUAGAAGCAUACUGCUAGAGAGUGAUCAAUUUUAGAAAGGUCUAGUGGCUGUUAUUUUGGUGUCGUAGCUGCCAUAUUUUGGCCGAGUUGGAGAGGCAUAUCUCAGCUCUGAAAUAAUAGGUUAUGACAAAUUGGCUUUCGAGGGAAUUGGUGGUGUAUGGCUAAGAUCUUCAGGUGCAUCUUCCGAUGGCAUGUCAGUUACCAUUAAUGUUAUGUUUUUCUUCCAAACUGGUGGUCCUCACUCAUGCAUAAUAGGUACAGGAUAGUGUUACCAUUUUAUAAACCACAUGAGCAAACAAUGAUGCCUAAUUAUAAUAGGAAACAAUGGUGCCUUAUUCAUAUGGGAAAAAAGUGGUUUGUUUAAAAUCUCAGCAUUCACAAAGAACACCUAAGGAACCUAUAUUUAUAUGUUAUUAGUCACAUAAAUUUAUUCUUAUAUCUUUCUAUUGACUUGGUGUGGCUCGUAGAGUAUGAAUAAAUGAUGUUGAAAAGAAUACAAUCACUACAAGAAAAUUUCCAAUUUGCAACAUAUAUUCUGCGUUGAAAGUGAAGGUGCGUAUAUAUCAUUUAUUUUUUAGGUUUUACACUUCUAUAUGUAACUCCAAAUAAAUUGUCUCAAUGUUUAUUUGAUUUUUCUAUGUUGUGUCAUUUUUUUUAAUGUUUAAUAUUUAUCUUCUAUUUGUUUAAUUUGAAUAUUUAGGGUAAUUGAUUUUUGUUCUUUAGGGUUAAUUGAUUUUAGAAUUGUAUCAUGUUCAAUUAUUGUUAUGUAGAAGAGUUUAUUUAUUGGUCAUUAUUUCAGUUUUGACAUUUUUUUUCUUUUAGUUUGGCAUUUUUUUCCGGUUGCACUUUCGAUGGCUUGAUGCGCGAUUGGCGGGACUAGUUUUUCACAUCAAUGAUAUUGUAUAUGGACUGGAUUUUAAAAAAACCAUUGUUGAGUUUCAUUUAUAUCAUGGAGACUAAGCUCAUUUUCAUUGUUAAAUAUAGGAACAUUCGGCGAAGAGUCACGACAAGAUCGAGAUGACCCUAAGUAAGUGGUUAUGCUAAGUCUGAAGCUUAUAUUUCGUGAAUGAAACCGAGAAAGAAACCGACUUAAAGAGUUUGUGGACUGAGUUGAAGAACCAUGUGCCGAGAUGCUCGCAGUUCUGGAUUCAGUGUGACUCUGCUAAUCAAUAUCAAUAUUAGAACAUUCUUUCUAUGAAUCCGCCUUAGAUUUUAUUGUUGUUUUAGAUUAAUUCUGAAUUUUGAUGUAUUUCUUAGUUAAUUUAUGUAUGAUCUUGAGAAAUAUCUCUGUAUUGUUUUUGAAUUCUGGAAAUCACAUUUUUUUCAAUAUAUUUUGAAUGCACUAGUUAGCAUUCAAUCAUUGGGUAGUUUGUUAUAAAAUUAAUAU